rnacentral:snRNA from 1 species
AUAGUUGCCUGGCAAGGGAGACAGCAUGAUGAGGAAGGCUGUUUGCUCGGGGUGUUUCUUCUGUUACUGUGGGGGUGUGCUUGACCCUUGAGGUUCACCCAGAAGUAGGAAACAUGACUGCAUAAUUUUGGGGUGGGGAGCACAUUCACACUCCCC